rnacentral:rRNA from 1 species
GAUGAAGGACGUGAUACUCUGCGAUAAGCUUGGGGGAGGUGAGAAUAACCUUUGAUCCCAAGAUCUCCGAAUGGGGCAACCCACCUGAUUGUUCAUUAUUGUUGUCUUCUGACAGUCAAUAAUGUUCAAAAACAGGUACUUAAGACCUGAAUACAUAGGGUUUUAAGAGCAAACCCGGGGAACUGAAACAUCUAAGUACCCGGAGGAAAGGAAAUCAACAGAUACUCCCCUAGUAGCGGCGAGCGAACGGGGACCAGCCGAGCGAUGAGAGUGACAAGAACAACCUGGAAAGGUUGGCCAGAGUGGGUGACAGCCCCGUAUGGGAAGCUCAAUUCGACGUAUUAAGUAGGGCGGGACACGUGAAAUCCUGUCUGAACAUCGGGGGACCACCCUCGAAGGCUAAGUACUCCUUACUGACCGAUAGCGAACCAGUACCGUGAGGGAAAGGUGAAAAGCACCCCGACGAGGGGAGUGAAACAGACCCUGAAACUGGACGCCUACAAGCAGUCGGAGGGGCCUCGAGCCCUGACGGCGUACCUUUUGUAUAAUGGGUCAUCGACUUGGUGUUACGAGCAAGCUUAAGCCGAUAGGUGUAGGCGCAGCGAAAGCGAGUCUUAAUAGGGCGCAUGAGUUCGUGGCAUCAGACCCGAAACCGAGUGAUCUAGGCAUGGGCAGGUUGAAGGUGCGGUAACACGCACUGGAGGACCGAACCCACGUCUGUUGAAAAAGACGGGGAUGACCUGUGGCUAGGGGUGAAAGGCCAAUCAAACUCGGCAAUAGCUGGUUCUCCGCGA